AGCAUUUCAGUAGAUGAGAGCAGGUAUGUAGUUGUUUUGCCGAACCUGCAGAGCUACCCUAAACAUUUGACGAUUGGUAAGCAGGGAAAUACAGCUACAAGCAGAUGGAUGACUGUUCCUGAAAAAGAAUCCAUGAGGAAGAGGCACGCCAUGCAAUGCCAGCCAUGCCAUGCCUUGGGGAGGCUACAAGGGCUGCUCGGAGCAUUUGGGCACAAGGCCACAGAGACUCGACCCCUGGGUUUGCAGAUUCCAUUUGGUCUGGAAAUGGCAGGCAGAGCCCCGACUUGAGGGAUCUGGGCAGUGUUUGACUGUCGGUCCACUGGAGAUGGAGUCCUCCCUCUGCAGAGCAGGGGGACUCCAGUAUUAACAUUCAGCAUGAGUCACUGCUGCCGUUUUCCCCCUGAGAACCUUCCCCUUCUUCCUGAGUCUCCAUCCAGCCCUCUGAGCCAGAAUGAGGCAGACUGAGGAUCUGACGCCAAGUAGGCCCAGGAUGGUAAGGGACAGGAUCCUUGCCAAGGCCCGUGGUUGGACCCCACCACUCCGAAGCAGCCAGAUUCCUUACAGGGGUUAGAAAUGAGAACGAGGAGCCAUUCUGACUUCAGUUUUGACAAAUUUUUGUAAACGAGCAAUUAGCGAGGGCUUACCAUAUGCCACACUCUUUGCAAAGACUUCACAGUGUUAAUUUUAGCCUCCCAACAGCCAUAUGAAGGAAGAACUAUUAUUAUCAUCCGUAUUUAAAAGCGCGUGUCAGAGAUUGUGUCUUGAUCCCUGACAUGCUCAGCUCACCCUGCAGAAGCUGGAAGCUUGGAAACUACAUUUCCCAAAUUCUAUUGCCAGUGCCACUCCAGUUUAGAUAUCACCAAUGAGAGAAGCACACACGAAAUUUGGCAGAAGAGAGGCCAUUAUUUGCAAGGUGCAGUCGUCAUGAACAGAGAUAUCUCCAAAGAACAGACCAAGACUCUGCCAGCUCUUUCUGACAAUUGUGGACGGUCCUGCCUCAGGCAAAGUCACCAGCAAUGAUUUCUAGCAAUUUCUGUAACUUCUUGGUAUCCUGAAAAGCAGUGGUGCUUUUCCCCGACCUUCCCUCAGACAGCCUUUCUAAUGAUUCUAGAAGCAUCAAUUCCCUUUGUAAAAUCCACCCUCCUGCUUGAAACACCUUGAACACCUCUGUUUCCGUGACUGAACUCCAGCUAACACAGCAGUGGGUUCCAGAAUUGUUUUCAGGAACCAAAACCUCAGUGAGGAUGAGAAUCUGGAAUGGUUAACUGUCCUGGCCAGAUUUAGAGUUAGAGCUGGCCUCACGGGGAGUGGGGAAUGGGUCAGUGCCCACGGGGUGUAGUUGGCAUUUACUUAAAUUAUAGCUAGUAUUUGCCUAUGGAGAAAUGUCCACUGUAGGAAGGCUUUGGGACCCUAGGUGGCUGUGGCGGUGGACUAUUCUGGUGAAGACGAUAAAGUGUGGUACUCUGGCUGCUUCAGGCUGCACUUGAGAGCUCAUGGAAAGAACAGGAUGUAAGGUCACGACUUGAAUUUCUUGGCCUGAGUUGAGAGAGGCAGAGAACUUCUACGACUGAUUUAAAAUAAUCUGUAUCUUGUAGCUGCAUUCAAAUACCAAAUAAAAGGGGCCCAGCUUUACCAGUGGAGCUGGAGCCCAGAAACCAUGUGCACACGGGACUGCCCUCAGAGAGCUCAUCCACUCACACUGUUGCAGACACCGUGUCGGGUCUACUGCCCUCUGGUUCUUACCCGAGAUACUGCUGGCAGGCUGACGUGAGUCUUCCAUAUUCUGAGGGACCUCAUAUUUGGACCUCAGAAACUUCCUGGCUAUGGUCACUCUGCACAGGAGCUUGCCCUGCUGUUGAGAUCCACUGUCUCCUUCUCUGUCCCUCACCCUCAGGGCCAGGACCCAGCCCGUGGGGCUGCCAGGUCUCCACGCACUCGCCUCAUCCCCACCCAGGCUCUGUCCUCUCUGAGAGUGACCUCCUCACAUACUACUCACCCUAUUUCUCUUUCAUAAAUGGCCAUCCUCCUUGUAUGACCAAGGAUAGCCUUCCUGAGGCCCUGGGGUUCACAGCUACUGACUCCAGAUGCUUCUUCACUGAAGCAGAGAGGUCAGUACCAGUGGGCACAACUGCCCAGGCUCCCUCCUCGUCUCCACACCAGCUCCUACCACUGCUAGGCAACAUCCCUUUGGGGGAGUAGUGGGAAGGUGACUGUAGGGGCCCAGGCAGUACCCAGCCUCUGCCACAAGAUGGCAGACACUUCACUUUUAUUUGAGAGGAAACAACAGGAAUAAACAGUGGUGAAAAGCCACACAGGAGACAGCUCCAGGCUGCCCUCCUGCACCUCCUGUUAUGCUGGGACAUUCUCGCUCAUUCUUGUUGGGGUGGGAGACACCUGCUAUAACCAUGGAGCCAGGAGUCAGUAUCGCCUGCUCUGCACCGGGCUGACCCAUGUCAAGGCUGAGGCCAUCCCUAAGCACAGGGCUGUGGCUGUCCUUAACCCUUGUUCUAAAACUGGGGAGUGGGGACAAAAACACAGGAAAGAAACUAGAUAAAAAAGCAGAGGGAGCAGGAACCCAAAAAUCCUAACCAGUGUCUGGUUUUCCUUCUUCCUCACAUCCCCCACCUCUGCUUGCUUGCUUGCUUUCUUUCUUUCUUUCAUUCUUUUU